rnacentral:rRNA from 4 species
UGGGGGACAACGUUUCGAAAGGAACGCUAAUACCGCAUACGUCCUACGGGAGAAAGCAGGGGACCUUCGGGCCUUGCGCUAUCAGAUGAGCCUAGGUCGGAUUAGCUAGUUGGUGAGGUAAUGGCUCACCAAGGCGACGAUCCGUAACUGGUCUGAGAGGAUGAUCAGUCACACUGGAACUGAGACACGGUCCAGACUCCUACGGGAGGCAGCAGUGGGGAAUAUUGGACAAUGGGCGAAAGCCUGAUCCAGCCAUGCCGCGUGUGUGAAGAAGGUCUUCGGAUUGUAAAGCACUUUAAGGUGGGAGGAAGGGUUGUAGAUUAAUACUCUGCAAUUUUGACGUUACCGCCAGAAUAAGCACCGGCUAACUCUGUGCCAGCAGCCGCGGUAAUACAGAGGGUGCAAGCGUUAAUCGGAAUUACUGGGCGUAAAGCGCGCGUAGGUGGUUUGUUAAGUUGGAUGUGAAAUCCCCGGGCUCAACCUGGGAACUGCAUCCAAAACUGGCAAGCUAGAGUAUGGUAGAGGGUAGUGGAAUUUCCUGUGUAGCGGUGAAAUGCGUA